GACGAACGCUGACGGCGUGCUUAACACAUGCAAGUCGAACGGUGAAGCGCCUUCCUUUUUGGUGGGUGUGGAUGAGUGGCGAACGGGUGAGUAACACGUGAGUAACCUGCCCCCUUCUUCUGGAUAACCGCAUGAAAGUGUGGCUAAUACGGGAUAUUCUGGGUCUGUCGCAUGAUGGGUCUGGGAAAGAUAUUGUUUCGGUGGGGGGUGGGCUCGCGGCCUAUCAGCUUGUUGGUGGGGUGAUGGCCUACCAAGGCGGUGACGGGUAGCCGGCCUGAGAGGGUGGACGGUCACACUGGGACUGAGACACGGCCCAGACUCCUACGGGAGGCAGCAGUGGGGAAUAUUGCACAAUGGGCGCAAGCCUGAUGCAGCGACGCCGCGUGAGGGAUGGAGGCCUUCGGGUUGUGAACCUCUUUCGCCAGUGAAGCAGGCCUGCCUCGUUUGUGGGUGGGUUGACGGUAGCUGGAUAAGAAGCGCCGGCUAACUACGUG
rnacentral:rRNA from 1 species